GUCUCUGUAGUAUAUUUAAUACACUGGCCUUGUAAACCAAAAAAGGAGAUUCUAACCCUCCCCGAGACU
rnacentral:tRNA from 1 species